rnacentral:sRNA from 1 species
AAGGAAGGAAGGAAAAGCUGUCUUGAUAACUUGUUUUAGAAUGAAGGAGUAGAUAUCAGACACUGACUUGAGACACCAAGGCUGAUGAGCCCAGUGGAUCAAACGGAUGAACAGUUGCUAAACUUUGCUUGUAUCUUGCUUGGCAUCUAUCUCUUCCUGUCCUGCAGCAGCAGCACCCUGGUCCCUGUUAUUAUAAACUGCUCAGGCUAGUUUCCAGUUUUGUUUGGUUUUGGUUUUGGUUUUGGUUUUGCGGUUGCUUUGUCUUGUUUCGUUCGUGACUACUGUCACCCCAGCAAGUUCUGUUUUCUUGGUGAACCCUGAAACAGGCACCCAGGAAAAAAAAAUGUAAAGUCUGUUUGAAGGGACACCAGCUUUCAUCAUGAUCUCUGGAAGAGCUGGAAGGCUCUCCAAGUGGACUGAAGAUCACCCCGGAGGCUAGCGAUGGAGCUCAGGCUUUCCACUCAACAACUCCGUACAUGCCACGGUUCCUGGAGUGGUGCAAAGAGGAAAGAAAUGCAGAAACCAGCAGAAGGAAACAGGAAGUGAUGGGCUGAGCUCCCAGCCACCGUGUGAGAAAGGACAAGGCUCAAAAGCAACAGGGCCAAGCAUCCAUGGAGCCAAAAUAAAGUUAAUUCUCAAAAGCUGACUUCCUACAGUAGUCCGUCAGAAGGACCGGAAGUUGCUAACACAACCUCCACUGAGAGUCGUUGUGUGCUGUUUCUGUUCCCACCCAUCACUGGUUUUACCCAGUCCCACUCAACUCACAAAGUUCCAGUGAGAUGAGACUUACCAACACGUGAUAAAGACACACGCUCCCGGUCUCUGCUGUCAUGUGUUCCUGCCCUUCAGUCGGUAUAUCUGGCAGUGGGAUUAGGCGUGCGUGCCACUCCAACAUCGUCUCCCCUUUAAGUAAUUCAGAGAUCCUAUAGAUGAGAACGUCAAGAUGUGAAGUUUACUUGAUGUUUGAACUUUCGUUUUUCAACUCUCUAAAGAAAAAUAAAGACAGUCUUUUCAUGAUUAAAUUGCUUAUGUUUUAUCAAACUCAAGAUGGCAAUAGGGUGCCCUGAAAACCCAACUUUCCUUAGUAAGAUUUUAAUGUAAUUCUUCUUGUACUGAAUAAGUGAGAGAAGUUCUCAGUCCUACCCGAUACCUGGAGUUCUUUCUCCUUCUGUGCGCCCUCCUCAGCUGCUGGACACCAUGGUCAGCGGGGUCCCCAGCGGCUCUCCCUCCUUGCUGCAGAGCUUCACAGGCCGUGGACCUGCUCUCUGCGUCUCAGCCCUUCUGUCCAGGAUGUGAUUCCACACUACUUUACCCAGAUUGUUUCACUCUUUGUCUUCCUCUGUCUUUCCUUUUCUGAAUAGUGUUUUGGUGGUUU